UGCAAAGCAGCAUCGCGGUGGCGGAGCGUCGUUUGCGACGCCCAACACACAAAACAAGCGGUGAGUGCUUUGGGGUGGGGUGACUGCGUACCUUUUGUAUAAUGGGUCAGCGACUUAUAUUCUGUAGCAAGGUUAACCGUAUAGGGGAGCCGAAGGGAAACCGAGUCUUAACUGGGCGUUAAGUUGCAGGGUAUAGACCCGAAACCCGGUGAUCUAGCCAUGGGCAGGUUGAAGGUUGGGUAACACUAACUGGAGGACCGAACCGACUAAUGUUGAAAAAUUAGCGGAUGACUUGUGGCUGGGGGUGAAAGGCCAAUCAAACCGGGAGAUAGCUGGUUCUCCCCGAAAGCUAUUUAGGUAGCGCCUCGUGAACUCAUCUUCGGGGGUAGAGCACUGUUUCGGCUAGGGGGUCAUCCCGACUUACCAACCCGAUGCAAACUGCGAAUACCGAAGAAUGUUAUCACGGGAGACACACGGCGGGUGCUAACGUCCGUCGUGAAGAGGGAAACAACCCAGACCGCCAGCUAAGGUCCCAAAGUCACAGUUAAGUGGGAAACGAUGUGGGAAGGCUCAGACAGCCAGGAUGUUGGCUUAGAAGCAGCCAUCAUUUAAAGAAAGCGUAAUAGCUCACUGGUCGAGUCGGCCUGCGCGGAAGAUGUAACGGGGCUAAACUGUGCACCGAAGCUGCGGCAGCGACGCUUAUGCGUUGUUGGGUAGGGGAGCGUUCUGUAAGCCUGCGAAGGUGUCCUGUGAGGGAUGCUGGAGGUAUCAGAAGUGCGAAUGCUGACAUAAGUAACGAUAA
rnacentral:rRNA from 1 species